UGGGGAAUAACUGUUGGAAACGACAGCUAAUACCGCAUAAUAUUGCUGGAUAAUUUCCAGUAAUGAAAGGAGCUUUCAAGCUCCGCUGAUUGAUGAGGAUGCGGCGCAUUAGCUAGUUGGUAGGGUAAUGGCCUACCAAGGCAAUGAUGCGUAGCCGAUCUGAGAGGAUGAACGGCCACAUUGGGACUGAGACACGGCCCAAACUUCUACGGAAGGCAGCAGUAGGGAAUUUUUCACAAUGGGCGAAAGCCUGAUGGAGCAAUGCCGCGUGACUGAUGAAGGUCUUCGGAUUGUAAAGGUCUGUUGUAAGGGAAGAAAUGGUAAAACAGGAAAUGGUUUUAUCUAUGACGGUACCUUACCAGAAAGCCACGGCUAACUAUGUGCCAGCAGCCGCGGUAAUACAUAGGUGGCAAGCGUUAUCCGGAUUUAUUGGGCGUAAAGGGUGCGUANACGGUUUUGCAAGUCUGANGNUAAAUUUAGGAGCUCAACUCCUAAUCGCCUUGNAAACUACNAGACUAGAGUAUA
rnacentral:rRNA from 1 species